UACGUAGGGUGCGAGCGUUGUCCGGAAUUAUUGGGCGUAAAGAGCUCGUAGGCGGCUUGUCACGUCGGAUGUGAAAACCCGGGGCUCAACCCCGGGCCUGCAUUCGAUACGGGCAGGCUAGAGUUCGGCAGGGGAGACUGGAAUUCCUGGUGUAGCGGUGGAAAUGCGCAGAUAUCAGGAGGAACACCGGUGGCGAAGGCGGGUCUCUGGGCCGAUACUGACGCUGAGGAGCGAAAGCGUGGGGAGCGAACAGG
rnacentral:rRNA from 1 species